GCCAGGUGGCCUCGGCUGCGCCCAGGGACCUGUUCCAUUUGGGGCUAGAGAUGGAUUCCGCAAGUGCCUACUGCGUCCCAGGCUUGGGGUUAGGUUCCGAGCAGAGGAAUGAAGGCAGGCAGGGGAGACGUGUUAAUAGAUUCCUGGUUCUUUGUAAAGAAUGCACUUCCUGGGAUUGGUUGGAGCUAUGUCCUGUACAUCUGGGCAGAUGGCAAUGAAUGAAACAACUCUUUCCUAGCUGAGAAGUACUGGUGCUCUCGGAGGCUGAUGGAGGGCAGGUCUCUGAGUGAGGCGGCUGCUAAGAUCCUCUGUAAGGGAACCACACGCGACGCUGACCCUCUGCUGUUCUCCGCUGGGUAGAAGCCGGUCACGUGCCUCACCCACACUCCCGGGGGAGACGGGCAGUGCACGUGGGCGAGAACCCACGAGGGAGGCGGCCAUGGGCGAGCGGUGUAGUCGCCUCCACAGAGCCCAGGACACACGAGUGAAAGGAGGCCCUUUUCAAAGAAGUAACUAAAUCGUCAAGCCAAAUGACGACAGGAAACACUGCUCAAGUAACUAGGAACACUCGCAGAGCUUAUCCGAAGCCCUGGCCUUGGCCUUGAUACAUCGCAGUGUCUACAGUUCUCACGGUGCAGAAUCACAGAAAGACCAGCAUGUGCACUUCAAGACGGGGGAAAAGAACCACGGACGUGCUGAUUUCCCAAUUUAUUCUUCCAGGUUUAACAAACUGUUUGAGAACCACUGUAGCCGCGACACCACGUGUACCAGGAGAGGAAUCUGGAGAACGCGUCGACCUCUUGCUCGUAGUCUCAGAGCCGAAUCUGAUGCGCUCUUGUGUGUUUUUCUGUAACCAGACACUGUUGUGAUUAACCCUGUAAUUUUUUCAACUUCAUCUGAACUUUUUAAUAAAC